CUUCCUCAGUCCUACGUACGUACGAAGCUGCCGUCCGCCAACCCGGACGCGGCGUCCAUGGUGGAUCGCAUCCUGCGGCUGCUGGCCUCGUACAAUGCCGUGUCGUGCGUGGUGGAGGAGGGCGAGGACGGCAGCCUCUCCCGUCUGUACGGCGGCGCGCCGGUGUGCAAGUGGCUUACCAUCAGCGAGGACGGCGCCUCUCUGGCCCCGUUCGCGCUCCUUGCAACGGACGAGAUGCUCAUGGAGUCAUGGUGCUACAUGAAGGACGCGGUCCUUGACGGAGGCAACCCGUUCGUCAAGGCCUUCGGCAUGACGGCGCGUGAGUGCAACGUCAAGGACAUGCGCCUGAACCGCGUCUUCAACGAGGCCAUGACGCACCACUCCGGCAUCAUCACCAACAAGUUCCUCGAGCUGUACACGGGUUUUGAUGGCAUCGGCACCCUCGUCGACGUCGGCGGCAGCGUCGGCACCCUCAUGCACGCCAUCGUCUCCAAGUACCCGAGCAUCAGGGGGAUCAACUUCGACCUCCCCUUCGUCAUCGCACACGCGCCGGACUACCCCGGCGUGCAGCACGUGGCCGGCGACAUGUUCGAGAAGGUGCCCUCCGGCGACGCCAUCGUCAUCAAGUGGGUCCUCAACGGCCUGAGCGACCAGCAGUGCGCGACGCUGCUCAAGAACUGCUACGACGCCCUGCCGGUGCACCCGGACGCGACGCACAGCGCGCAGGAGGUCAUCAGCGUCGACGUGAGCAUGCUCGCCUACAGCGUCGGCGGCAGAGAUAUCUGA
rnacentral:rRNA from 1 species